AUUUGAAGGAGCCCCAUCAGAUUGUGCAUUUCUGACUUUACUCCUUUUCUCAUGUGAACUGCAAAACUAAAGAGGAACAUAAGAAACAAAAAGGAGAAAAAUUAUCAAAUGAUUGUAAAAGAAUAAAGAGAGUUAAACAAUGCAAAUUUCUGAUGUGUUAACAUUAAGAGAAAGAUGAAGAACAGCUUAAUAAUCAUAUUCAGAUAUUGGAAUACAGACAAGAAAAAGAUUAAGUCAUUCUUGUUUUCACUCUGAGACAAAUAAGAGAACGUGGGCCACAAGACGACAUGUUUGAAAUUCCGAUUCUUGUUCACCCGCUUUUCAAUCUACUGCUUCUGCCCCGCCAGGCUGCCUCGAGUUCUGGAAGGGUCACUUCAUUCCCUCACAGCACGUGGACCUCCAAUGCAGAUGUGCUGCUAUGACGCCUAGGGAAACAGAGUUUUACAACAAACUAGAACUGUAGGAGUGACUCCAAUGUUCAAGGUGGGUAGUUUUCAGAGAAGAGCUGCUGAAGAGACAACCCAGUAUGGAUGCACCACAAUGUUUAUUCUUGCAACGACUUCUGAAUUACUUGAGAUAACUUGACAAGUUUUUGUUCCUUGCAAACAGAAGAAUCAAGCAACCGUAGGCAUUAAACUUGAGAUACUACAUGUGGUGGUAAAGAUAGGUCUUCAUAUUGAUCAAGGAAUUAUACAGAGCUUCUCCAGCCUAUAGCCUCAGUUGCCCAAAUCCAUUGUUCACAUGUUUUCAACUUGAAGAUUCCAAGAGUUCCAGAGCAUAUCACAAGUGUCUGAAUAUCUGGUUCCAGCCACUCUAGGAAAUUAACAGGACUCCAGGAGGGAUGCCUGGGAACCUCCAAUUUAUAGCCAGAAGGUCAGAAGAACAGGGGACACCCUGGACUUGUGGAGCUUACACUCUUGAAGAGGGUGGCAAGCACGGUAAUGAAGAAGUCUGUAUGAGCAGAGAGACAAAGUUUGAGUUUCGAAAGCAUUUUGGAGAAACAAGUCACUUUGUAAAAGAAAGAGAUGUUGGACUCCCCCUUGAAGUCUACAGUGGAAGCUACAAGAUCCUUUUUUUGAGGAGUUUAAUUUUACUUCAAUUCUGGUCUUGUGAAAGUUGAAUUAAAAUCUCCUCAGCAGUUUUAACAAUCCGUUGGUUUCCCAUCUCUAACUCUCAUUCUCAGAGCUUUGAGAGUGUUGUUUUCUCCUUUCCUUCUGAAUGAGAAGAAAGACUAUAUCCAAAACAGCAGCCAGAGGACGGGGUGAAUCUUGAAGCCACUCCCUCCACCUCACACUCAUUCUUGUGUCUAGUUGUUUAUAGCAUCUGUUUGCACUUCAAAUUUGACUAUCUGUUGUCAACUUCAGCUCCACAUGAGGAAGAUAGAUUCCCCUUAAAAUUUUUCCUUACUUUUUCCUACUUGUGUAACAUCCGACUAACUGGAUAAAAAGGUCAUUUUGCUGACAGCUCAAGUAAGGACAUAAAAUGAUUUUCAGUGCAUUUCUCUUUUGAUCGACAUUUAUAUUUGGUUGUAAUAUCUUGCUGCUUCUUCAUAUAGUUCCGCCAGGCACUCUCCCUGUGUCACCUUCAGGACUGUCCUAGGUGUCAUUUCUUCUAGAACUCCUUCUGGAACUGUCACUGCACAGGAUAUUCUUUCAAUACUUUUCUUCUCAUCCACGGAGCCUCUGCCCUGGCAAUCUAUCCUCAUCUCCAUGGUCAAAGGCGUUUUAGCACAUACCACACCCACUCCCAGCCCCUGGAAAUUUAUAUCCGUCUUCCCUUCCCACCAUACAUCAAGUCCCAGGUCCUUAUUUUAUACAUCAAAAUACUCCUGCUAAGUAAUAUGUAUUUCUUCUUCUUUUUCUAUUUUUAAAUCCAAUUUUCUGAACUUAUUCCCUGGAAGCCUAAUGUCAGUUUGUCUUUACUCCCAUCUUUGAGUUUUUUCCCCUUUCAAAGCAAUGCCUGAAAUUAUUUUCCUCUAAUGGCUGCCAAAAUCUCUGACUUUCUCUCUCUCUCUCUCCUUAAAUAGUGUCUAACUAUAUUUCACUUAUUUCAGAAAAUCUUUCUGGAUUGAUCAUUAAGGAGUUAACAAUGUUGCUUAGUUUAUUAUGCGUGUGGCUAUUUCUCCCAUUUUCCCCCUUUCUUUAGAUUUACCUUCUUGAUAAAUGUUAUGCUUUAUUUUGAUAUAGU
rnacentral:lncRNA from 1 species